rnacentral:rRNA from 1 species
GACUCGUCACACUAUCAUUAACUGAAUCCAUAGGUUAAUGAGGCGAACCGGGGGAACUGAAACAUCUAAGUACCCCGAGGAAAAGAAAUCAACCGAGAUUCCCCCAGUAGCGGCGAGCGAACGGGGAGGAGCCCAGAGCCUGAAUCAGCAUGUGUGUUAGUGGAAGCGUCUGGAAAGGCGCGCGAUACAGGGUGACAGCCCCGUACACAAAAGCGCAUGUGCUGUGAGCUCGAUGAGUAGGGCGGGACACGUGGUAUCCUGUCUGAAUAUGGGGGGACCAUCCUCCAAGGCUAAAUACUCCUGACUGACCGAUAGUGAACCAGUACCGUGAGGGAAAGGCGAAAAGAACCCCGGCGAGGGGAGUGAAAAAGAACCUGAAACCGUGUACGUACAAGCAGUGGGAGCACCCUUUGGGGUGUGACUGCGUACCUUUUGUAUAAUGGGUCAGCGACUUAUAUUCUGUAGCAAGGUUAACCGAAUAGGGGAGCCGGAGGGAAACCGAGUCUUAAUUGGGCGUUAAGUUGCAGGGUAUAGACCCGAAACCCGGUGAUCUAGCCAUGGGCAGGUUGAAGGUUGGGUAACACUAACUGGAGGACCGAACCGACUAAUGUUGAAAAAUUAGCGGAUGACCUGUGGCUGGGGGUGAAAGGCCAAUCAAACCGGGAGAUAGCUGGUUCUCCCCGAAAGCUAUUUAGGUAGCGCCUCGUGAAUUCAUCUCCGGGGGUAGAGCACUGUUUCGGCUAGGGGGCCAUCCCGGCUUACCAACCCGAUGCAAACUGCGAAUACCGGAGAAUGUUAUCACGGGAGACACACGGCGGGUGCUAACGUCCGUCGUGAAGAGGGAAACAACCCAGACCGCCAGCUAAGGUCCCAAAGUCAUGGUUAAGUGGGAAACGAUGUGGGAAGGCCCAGACAGCCAGGAUGUUGGCUUAGAAGCAGCCAUCAUUUAAAGAAAGCGUAAUAGCUCACUGGUCGAGUCGGCCUGCGCGGAAGAUGUAACGGGGCUAAACCAUGCACCGAAGCUGCGGCAGCGACACUCAGGUGU